rnacentral:rRNA from 1 species
UAUUGGACAAUGGGCGAAAGCCUGAUCCAGCAAUGCCGCGUGAGUGAUGAAGGCCUUAGGGUUGUAAAGCUCUUUUACCAGGGAUGAUAAUGACAGUACCUGGAGAAUAAGCUCCGGCUAACUCCGUGCCAGCAGCCGCGGUAAUACGGAGGGAGCUAGCGUUGUUCGGAAUUACUGGGCGUAAAGCGUGCGUAGGCGGUGACUCAAGUCAGAGGUGAAAGCCUGGAGCUCAACUCCAGAACUGCCUUUGAAACUAGGUCGCUAGAAUCUGGGAGAGGUGAGUGGAAUUCCGAGUGUAGAGGUGAAAUUCGUAGAUAUUCGGAAGAACACCAGUGGCGAAGGCGGCUCACUGACCAGAAUUGACGCUGAGGCACGAAA